UACAGAGGUCUCAAGCGUUGUUCGGAUUCAUUGGGCGUAAAGGGUGCGUAGGCGGCUCGGUAAGUCGGGUGUGAAAUCUCGGAGCUUAACUCCGAAAUUGCACCGGAUACUGCGUUGCUCGAGGACUGUAGAGGAGAUCGGAAUUCACGGUGUAGCAGUGAAAUGCGUAGAUAUCGUAAGGAAGACCAGUGGCGAAGGCGGGUCUCUGGACAGUUCCUGACGCUGAGGCACGAAGGUCAGGGGAGCAAACGGG
rnacentral:rRNA from 1 species